rnacentral:rRNA from 1 species
CACGGGGGGGAGCAAGCGUUGUUCGGAAUCACUGGGCGUAAAGGGCGUGUAGGCGGUCAAGUAAGUGGAAUGUGAAAUGCCCCGGCUCACCCGGGGGACCGGCAUCCCAAACUGCUUGGCUUGAGUAUGGGAGAGGAUGAGGGAAUUCCUGGUGUAGCGGUGAAAUGCGUAGAUAUCAGGAGGAACACCGGUGGCGAAAGCGCUCAUCUGGCCCCAAUACUGACGC